rnacentral:rRNA from 1 species
UGAGGAAUAUUGGUCAAUGGGCGGGAGCCUGAACCAGCCAAGUCGCGUGAGGGAAGACGGUCCUAUGGAUUGUAAACCUCUUUAGGCGGGGAGCAAUGCCGGGCACGCGUGCCCGGAGGGAGAGUACCCCGCAGAAUAAGCAUCGGCUAACUCCGUGCC